rnacentral:rRNA from 1 species
GAUGAACGCUGGCGGCGUGCUUAACACAUGCCAGUCGAACGAGAAGUGAAGACGGAAACCUUCGGGCGGAAGGCUUUAUUUCGAGUGGCGGACGGGCGAGUAACGCGUGGGUAACCUGCCUCAUACAGGGGGAUAACAGUUGGAAACGACUGUUAAUACCGCAUAAGACCACAGCACCGCAUGGUGCGGGGGUAAAAACUCCGGUGGUAUGAGAUGGACCCGCGUUCGAUUAGCCAGUUGGCGGGGUAACGGCCCACCAAAGCGACGAUCGAUAGCCGAUCUGAGAGGAUGACCGGCCACAUUGGGACUGAGACACGGCCCAAACUCCUACGGGAGGCAGCAGUGGGGAAUAUUGCACAAUGGGGGAAACCCUGAUGCAGCGACGCCGCGUGAGUGAAGAAGUAUUUCGGUAUGUAAAGCUCUAUCAGCAGGGAAGAAAAUGACGGUACCUGAGUAAGAAGCCCCGGCUAACUACGU